rnacentral:tRNA from 1 species
GGAGGUGGGUCUGUUCUGGUGAACGGCCCGGUCUUCAAAACCGGUGCGGGGCGUCGAGAGUCGUCCUGGGCGGGUUCGAUCCCCGUGCACCUCCGCCA